GGAAGAUAUACUUGAACAAGGAAACCACGUUCCAGCGCCAGCACACAGAGAACUUGGAAGCUUCAGCCGUGUGGUUCCGGCUUUAUCAAAGAAUCUUCCUCUGCAACAAGGAAAUGGCUGAGGCCAGAUGUAUGGCAGGGGUGUCCCUGCAUGGAGGCCCAGAGAAGCCAUUUUAUGAAGUAGUGAAAGUGAAGCCUGGGUUUCACUGGGGACCUCAAGAUGUUAGAGAUGUCGGAGUCAUGGGAGACCUGCCAAGUAAAGCUGCUGACAGAGAGAGGGACCAGCCAAAGAAAAGAAGUGUGCUGCAGUCAACAAAGCUGAUAGGAGUUGCAGGUCUGAGGAGCGCUUUGACAUCAGACAUGGAGAGCACAGAGAAGCUGAGAUCUACAGUUGUUUGAGGGAUGUCCAUGAGGAAGAAACAGGAAGAGGGGGUGCUCCAGGAUCUCCUCGCUUUGGACUUCUCCCCACAGACGCACAGAUCUCAGCUCCUCUCUCACUAUGAUACUGGUCAUCAGCAGAGAGAUGGUGAAUGAAGAGAGCAUACCCAAGUGUCCUGCUUAGAGGCUGCACUGCUCUUGGGAGACUCAACAGCAGGGUUGGCAGUGGUGAUCAAGCCUAUUUGAAGUAGUCUGUGGACUCAGAGGGACACAUCUUGCUUUCAAAUCCAAGGUCCAGUUUCAUCCCAGGCAAACAUCAAAGCUCCCAGAAGCCAUCAGGACACCGAGUCCGUGUCCCCUGUGCUUCCCCAAGACACUCACAAUAUGUCCCUUAUCCAUGUAAACCUACGGAGUCUAAUGAAUGCUGCCUGCUGGAGGGUUGAGUGUACCAGCUCUCCUCCGCUAUGGGUAUCUGCACAAGAGCAAGCCAAUAAGAACAACAGUAUUAAGAAG